rnacentral:rRNA from 1 species
AUUGAACGCUGGCGGCAGGCUUAACACAUGCAAGUCGAGCGGAGAUGAGGUGCUUGCACCUUAUCUUAGCGGCGGACGGGUGAGUAAUGCUUAGGAAUCUGCCAUUUAGUGGGGGACAACAUUCCGAAAGGAAUGCUAAUACCGCAUACGUCCUACGGGAGAAAGCAGGGGAUCUUCGGACCUUGCGCUAAAUGAUGAGCCUAAGUCGGAUUAGCUAGUUGGUGGGGUAAAGGCCUACCAAGGCGACGAUCUGUAGCGGGUCUGAGAGGAUGAUCCGCCACACUGGGACUGCGACACGGCCCAGACUCCUACGGGAGGCAGCAGUGGGGAAUAUUGGACAAUGGGGGGAACCCUGAUCCAGCCAUGCCGCGUGUGUGAAGAAGGCCUUAUGGUUGUAAAGCACUUUAAGCGAGGAGGAGGCUACUGAGACUAAUACUCUUGGAUAGUGGACGUUACUCGCAGAAUAAGCACCGGCUAACUCUGUG